rnacentral:tRNA from 1 species
CGUCUUAUAAUUUAUAUAGAAUAUCAAAUUGCAAAUUUGAGUGAAGGUAAAACCUUGGGACUU